rnacentral:rRNA from 1 species
GCUUUAUAUUUGUAUUUUAUUUUAAAAAAUUAAUUUAAUUGUAAAAUUAAAAUAACUUUAAUUAGUUGGGGCGACGUGUAAAUAAUUUUUAUAACUUUAUUUAUUUGAAACAUAAAUAUAUGAAAUUUGCUGAUCUUUAUUAAAAAAUUUAAGUAAAGUU